ACGAACGCUGGCGGCGUGCUUAACACAUGCAAGUCGAACGGAAAGGCCCUGCUUUUGUGGGGUGCUCGAGUGGCGAACGGGUGAGUAACACGUGAGUAACCUGCCCUUGACUUUGGGAUAACUUCAGGAAACUGGGGCUAAUACCGGAUAGGAGCUCCUGCUGCAUGGUGGGGGUUGGAAAGUUUCGGCGGUUGGGGAUGGACUCGCGGCUUAUCAGCUUGUUGGUGGGGGAGUGGCUUACCAAGGCUUUGACGGGUAGCCGGCCUGAGAGGGUGACCGGCCACAUUGGGACUGAGAUACGGCCCAGACUCCUACGGGAGGCAGCAGUGGGGAAUAUUGCACAAUGGGCGGAAGCCUGAUGCAGCAACGCCGCGUGCGGGAUGACGGCCUUCGGGUUGUAAACCGCUUUCGCCUGUGACGAAGCGUGAGUGACGGUAAUGGGUAAAGAAGCACCGGCUAACUACGUG
rnacentral:rRNA from 1 species